rnacentral:rRNA from 1 species
UACGUAGGGACCGAGCGUUGUCCGGAAUCAUUGGGCGUAAAGAGCGUGUAGGCGGCUUGCUAAGUCUUGCGUGAAAUCUCGGGGCUCAACCCCGAGCGGUCGUGGGAAACUGGCAGGCUAGAGUGCGGGAGAGGAGAAUGGAAUCCUGGUGUAGCGGUGAAAUGCGCAGAUAUCAGGAAGAACACCCGUGGCGAAGGCGGCUCUCUGGAACGCAACUGACGCUGAGACGCGAAAGCGUGGGGGGAGCAAACAGG